GUGUGAAGUGAAGAUAACAACUGACUGGGUUUUUUUUAAUACAAAUGAACAGGUCAAGAGUCAAGACUACCUGCAUGAUCUACAGUAUCCAAUGACUACUGGCUGUUUUUUUUUGUACAAAUAAAUAGGUCAAGACUACCUGAAUGAUCUACAGUAUCCAAUGACUACUGUCUGGGUUUUUUUUUUACAAAUAAAUAGGUCAAGAAUACUGGAAUGAUAUACAAUAUCCAAUGAUUACUAGCU
rnacentral:lncRNA from 1 species